CGGACGGGUGAGUAAUGUCUGGGAAACUGCCUGAUGGAGGGGGAUAACUACUGGAAACGGUAGCUAAUACCGCAUAACGUCGCAAGACCAAAGAGGGGGACCUUCGGGCCUCUUGCCAUCAGAUGUGCCCAGAUGGGAUUAGCUAGUAGGUGGGGUAACGGCUCACCUAGGCGACGAUCCCUAGCUGGUCUGAGAGGAUGACCAGCCACACUGGAACUGAGACACGGUCCAGACUCCUACGGGAGGCAGCAGUGGGGAAUAUUGCACAAUGGGCGCAAGCCUGAUGCAGCCAUGCCGCGUGUAUGAAGAAGGCCUUCGGGUUGUAAAGUACUUUCAGCGGGGAGGAAGGUGUUGAGGUUAAUAACCUCGUCAAUUGACGUUACCCGCAGAAGAAGCACCGGCUAACUCCGUGCCAGCAGCCGCGGUAAUACGGAGGGUGCAAGCGUUAAUCGGAAUUACUGGGCGUAAAGCGCACGCAGGCGGUCUGUCAAGUCGGAUGUGAAAUCCCCGGGCUCAACCUGGGAACUGCAUUCGAAACUGGCAGGCUAGA
rnacentral:rRNA from 1 species